CCGCAGCCAAUUAAACCGACUGGGUUCCUUUCCUCAUGGGGGCCCAGUGUGCAAUGGCCGCAAACAGCAGCUUCCUUGGUAGUGCAUGCAGCCUGUUUCUUGGAUGGGUUGCUCUAAGGGACCUUGGAGACAGGC
rnacentral:snoRNA from 1 species